rnacentral:misc_RNA from 1 species
GUCGGAAUCAGGCUCGAUGCAUUCUUCAGGCAUGUACUUCGCAGCUUCAUUAACAGCUGAAAUCAGAAAGAACAAAUGCAUAGCAAACUGGCCUAGGAGAGAGAGGAAGACGUAGGCGCAGAAGAUGUUAGGAUGCGGCCUUUGGGUGGAGAGCACCUCGAGAGGGCGAGCAUGGGAGAUGAAGAGGAAGAAAGCAGCGGUGAAGACCCCGCUGAUGGUGGCUUGGAUGUCG